CAGCAGCCGCGGUAAUACGUAGGGUGCAAGCGUUAAUCGGAAUUACUGGGCGUAAAGCGUGCGCAGGCGGUUUUGUAAGUCUGUCGUGAAAUCCCCGGGCUCAACCUGGGAAUGGCGAUGGAGACUGCAAGGCUAGAAUCUGGCAGAGGGGGGUAGAAUUCCACGUGUAGCAGUGAAAUGCGUAGAUAUGUGGAGGAACACCGAUGGCGAAGGCAGCCCCCUGGGCCAAUACUGACGCUCAUGCACGAAAGCGUGGGGAGCAAACAGGAUUAGAUACCCCUGUAGUCCCUGUCUCUUAUAC
rnacentral:rRNA from 1 species